UACGUAGGGGGCAAGCGUUGUCCGGAAUCAUUGGGCGUAAAGAGCGUGUAGGCGGCUCGAUAAGUCUGCUGUGAAAAGUCCAGGGCUCAACCCUGGAAGGCCGGUGGAAACUGUCGGGCUAGAGUCCGGAAGAGGCGAGUGGAAUUCCCGGUGUAGCGGUGAAAUGCGCAGAUAUCGGGAGGAACACCAAUGGCGAAGGCAGCUCGCUGGGACGGUACUGACGCUGAGACGCGAAAAGCGUGGGGGAGCGAACAGG
rnacentral:rRNA from 1 species